rnacentral:misc_RNA from 1 species
GAAAUGCGAUAAGUAAUGUGAAUUGCAGAAUUCAGUGAAUCAUCGAAUCUUUGAACGCACAUUGCGCCCGCCAGUAUUCUGGCGGGCAUGCCUGUUCGAGCGUCAUUUCAACCCUCAAGCCCUGCUUGGUGUUGGGACGCUACGGCCCACCGGCCGUAGGUCCUCAAAUUCAGUGGCGGACUCGCUGAAGCCCUCCUUGCGUAGUAGUUUUCUCAACCUCGCAUCGUGGCCCGGCGUGCUAUCCAGCCGUGAAAAGCCCCCCUUCUCCAAAGGUUGACCUCGGAUCAGGUAGGAAUACCCGCUGAACUUAA